UCGAAGUUAUGAAGCCCCAAGGGUAACUCAUACCCCAAGUUAGCUGCUCUGUUUUGUUUUUAUGGGUAUAGUCCAUGACUAGCCAUGUUUUUCAAGCUUGUUAUAGUCAUACUAGUAAGCCUAGCAGCAGCUGAAGAUCUCAAUUUCACCUACAAUGGUUUCCUGUCUGCUAAUCUUAGCCUAGAUGGCGUAGCCCACAUCACAUCCAAUGGCCUUCUGAAGCUUACAAAUGACACUGGACUCGGCCAUGCCUUCUACCCCAACCCAGUAACCUUCAAGAACUCAUCCAAUGCUACCGCUUUCUCCUUCUCUACCACUUUUGUGUUCGCUAUCAGAUCCAGAUUGGGACCGCGUUUGGGUGGCCAUGGAAUUGCCUUUGUCAUUGCUCCGACAAGAGGGCUCCCGGGAGGUUUUAAAAACCAGUACCUGGGCGUUUUCAAUGAAACCAACAACGGCAACGCCAACAACCAUAUUUUUGCUGUAGAGCUUGACUCCUUUCAGGACCCCGAGCUUGGCGACAUCAACAACAACCAUGUUGGGAUUGAUAUCAAUGGUUUGCGCUCAGUGAAAUCAACUCCAGCGGGAUAUCAUGCUCUAAACAAUGGCGGUUUCCGAAACUUGACCCUCAUCAGUGGUCAACCAAUGCAAGUUUGGGUGGAUUAUGAUGGUAUCCAGAAGCAAAUCAAUGUCACUUUGGGUCCAAUCAAUGUUGAUAAACCCCAUAUUCCACUCUUGUCUUUGAAGAAUGACCUUUCCACGGUCCUUAACACGACCAUGUAUGUUGGCUUCUCCUCUACCCCUGGCUCAGUCAUCACAUCUCAUUAUGUUCUAGGAUGGAGCUUUGAGAUGAAUGGCCAGGCUCCAGAACUUGUUCUCUCACAACUUCCUAAGCUGCCCCGAAUAGGACGUAAAAAAAUAUCUAAUAUUUUGACCGUUGGUGUGCCUGUGAUGUCUGUGAGUUUGGUUUUGCUAGCAAUUUCAAGUUUAAUUUAUGCCAUAAGAAGGAAGAAGAAGUUUGCAGAGCUGCUUGAAGAUUGGGAGCUUGAGUAUGGGCCUCAAAGGUUUAAAUACAAAGAGUUAUAUAUGGCAACAAAAGGGUUUAGGGAGAAGGAGCUUUUGGGAACUGGGGGAUUUGGUAAGGUCUAUAAAGGCAUAUUACCUUCCUCCAAAACUGAGAUUGCAGUGAAGAGGGUCUCACAUGAAUCAAGACAGGGGAUGAGGGAGUUUGUUGCAGAAGUUAUUAGCAUUGGCAGACUUCGUCACCGAAAUUUAGUACCACUGUUGGGAUAUUGCAGAAGAAAAGGGGAGCUGCUCUUGGUCUAUGACUACAUGCCUAAUGGAAGCCUGGACAAAUACCUAUACGACCAACCAGUGGUCACUCUCAAUUGGAGGCAGAGGUUCAGAGUGAUCAAAGGUGUGGCUUCAGGGUUGUUCUAUCUUCAUGAAGAAUGGGAACAAGUUGUGGUUCACAGAGAUGUGAAGGCCAGUAACAUAUUACUAGAUUCAAAAUUUAAUGCAAGACUAGGAGAUUUUGGCCUUGCAAGAUUAUAUGACCACGGAAAGGACCCUAAGACUACUCGUAUAGUUGGAACACUUGGGUAUCUAGCUCCGGAGAAUGCAAGAUUAGGCAGGGCCACAACGCACGCCGAUGUGUUUUCUUUUGGGGCAUUUUUGCUUGAAGUUGCCUGUGGAAGAAGGCCAAUACAGACACAAGGUGUUCUGGUUGAUUUGGUGUUUUUUUGUUGGAAGAGAAGUAAUAUUCUUGAGGUAAUAGAUAUAAAUUUGGGUUCAGAAUUCGUAGCUGAGGAGGUGGAAUUGGUGCUGAAGCUUGGGCUGUUGUGCUCUCAUUCAGAGCCUUCUGCUAGGCCAAGCAUGCGUCAAGUAGUGCAUUAUUUAGAGGGUGACAUUCCACUGCCGGAGUUAUCAUCUCUUGGUCUUUCUUCUGGUGGCUUGAAGUUCGCACACCACGAAAAUUUUGAUGAUUCGGCAAUGUCAUAUCCGUCUUCUAUGGGCAAGGAGAUGUCAUAUGUGCCAGAGUCAUCACUUCUCUCAGGGGGUCGCUGAGGCCAAUCAAUUGUAACUCGAGGCAUAUAACAUAUAUACAUGCAGCUUUGAAUGUUUCCUUUAGUUUAUGAGUUUGUAACUCGUUGCUUGUUACAUUAAAUCAAUGCUGCAUAAAAAAUAGAUGUUUUGUAUUAUACUAUUUUUUAUAUCUUUUUGUUGUUGUUGAUAAUAUACUAUUUUUUAUAUAAGAAAACAGACAUGGAAAUUUUAAUCUUAAUAAAUAGUAAAAAAUUAGAACGGGAAAAGGGAGCAAUUUUAAGAGGCGGCAGUCGGUUGGGUCCGGAAUGCGGGCCGAAUCUUGGACUAGUAAUUACUGGAUGAGUGUGGCGGAGAUCUCCGCAGACCUCCUCAAGUUCUCAACUUUCAGAUCCUUCACCGUCGUCCGAUGUCAAAACAGAUCUCUGGCCAUUUUCUAGAGAAUGGGUUUUGGCAGAAACCUCCAUUUCUAUUUGGUACAUCACGUUGUUGUAGGAGCAGGAUUGAAUUCUUGAACCUUCUAGACGCUAGCUUUUCUAUGUUUUUGCCUCCAACUAUUUUGGCUCCUUCUCCUUAAACCAAGUACAUUUGCAUCACUGUGAAGGUUUAAAAUUUAGUCGUGGAAACGACAGACCUCUCCCACAGCUAAGUACAAUUUGAAGCAUUGGACUGGCCACAGGUUUCUCUCUGUUGUGCGUGUGUAAUUGUCAAGUUUUCUUUAAUGUCUUUGUGAAAUUUGAAUUUACAUUAUAUAUAUCGACUUACUGGUGUGCCAAUAUUGUAGCACUAGUUGAUGAUUGUGGCAAUCUGCAUGGAAAUUGCAAACUUGUGUGCUUUUGUUUCGGUAUAUGAUCAUUUUCUAAAAAUAAAUUUGGCAUUUUGCUGCAGGAAGAAUUUGAUAUCGGGACACUUGUUUACUCCUUUUUGGUAACAGUGAGUGAUUAAAAUAUGGGGUCGGAGAGGCUUGUACCUUCGUAUCUAUAGAAUUGAUCAUAACACUAGUGGGAGACGAGUGUGAGUGAUUGUAAAAGUUGGGUCUUGGCUGAGAAUCGGGGCGAAUCAGACUGAAUCGGAUGAACGAUAUCAAUUCUGUUUUAGUUUUGGUUGAUAAUUAGGCCAAACUGGACUUUGCCAAGACCUAGUAUUACCCUUGUGAAAAAUGUGGUAAGCCUAGUAUUACCCUUGUGAAAUAUGAAUUGUCAAGUUUUCUUAACGUAUAAUAUGUGAGAAUAUGAGAAUGAGAGAAAAAAUUUCUGGUUUUCAACUUAUACAAGUAUAUGGCUUGCUAACCAAGCUAAUCAUAUUUGGUUUCCAAGGCCUGGAACUUGCAAGCUGCAGUCUUCACAAGUCAAGUGAAUAUUUCCUGGUUUCACACCUCCAACAUUUAUUGCUUUCACACACAAGCUAACAGUUAGUGUCCAUAAUUUCUACAUAAAAGCUAAUUAGUGACAAUGACGGUCAAGUUGUUUGACAAUGUCCCGCUACAUUGACUUAGAUUUUUCUUAAUGGGUGCAGUUGUUGACUUGAUAUGUAUCCAAAGACUCGCAAUGAAGGAUAUGUUCAGAAAGGCAUCGGCUGAGAAUCAAGAAUAGCCAUGUUUUUCAGGCUUGUAAUACUCAUACUGGUAAGCUUAGCAGCAGCAGAAGAUCUCAGUUGUGGUCCCGCAUCUUCGAGGUUAUCUUGUUGAAGGUCAAUAAUGUAUCUCUAGAAGGGAAAUUGAAUGCAGAUUUUGAACUAGUUGAAUAAGAAUUUUCCACUUGUAUGAUUCUGAUUUACUCAAUAUAUUUUUUCUUGUUAAUUUGUGACAAUGUCUGCUGUAGGAGUAAAUAAUCCAGUUUUCAAUCACAAGAUGCCACUUGGACAAGAAGAAUAUCUCAUAGGUCAAUUAAUUGAGCCCAUUUAUUUGGCAAAUUAAUUGAUACUAUUAGGGAGUUAUAGUAAUUUUUUCUUUUUUUCCUUGGAGCCCACUACAUUAACUUAGAUUUUUCCUUGACCAAAAAAAAAAAAAAAAAGACUUAGAUUUUUCUUUGGUAGUGUAGCUGUGGGUAUAGUCCAUGACUUAUCUGCGAUAAGACUUAAACUAAAUUAUGUAUUGAAACUUCAUAGUCUUUGGUAGAGAAUUGAAAUUAAUAGCCAUGUUUUUCAAGCUUGUUUUAGUCAUACUAGUAAGCCUAGCAGCAGCUGAAGAUCUCAAUUUCACCUACAAUGGUUUCCUGUCUGCUAAUCUUAGCCUAGAUGGCGUAGCCCAAGUCACAUCCAAUGGCCUUCUGAAGCUUACAAAUGACUCUGGAAAUGACAAUGUACUCGGCCAUGCCUUCUACCCCAACCCAGUAACCUUCAAGAACUCAUCCAAUGCUACCGCUUUCUCCUUCUCUACCACUUUUGUGUUCGCUAUCAGAUCCGGAUUCGGACUGCGUUUGGGUGGCCAAGGAAUUGCCUUUGUCAUUGCUCCGACAAGAGGUCUCCCCGGAGGUUCUCUAAU
rnacentral:lncRNA from 1 species